AGCCCCAUCUAAGGCAGGAAGGGCAAAGGGGUUUUGUCCUCAUGCCAACACUGAUGGAUGCUAGUGGCUUUCCCAGGGGAGGACUGGGGUGAAAUGACUUCUGAGGCUGAGUCCAGGCUCAGCAGGAGUGCCCUGCACAAUCCCUUGGCAGUGUCUGGAGGUCACGGCCCCUGGGUUGCAGAUUUGUCAUCUUCAACCUCAGGAAUGAAGCCUUUGGCUUUGCAUUCAAGAUCUCCCUUUGACUUUGGGAUCUUACCUUUCAUCUUCUCCUUAAAAUGCACACUUAUGACUCAUCUCAGAACAAAAUCGCACCCACUGACAUAAUCUCUGGUGACGGCACCCAUGGGCAUGAACCCUCUAAGUCAAGCAACCAUAUGGUAGUAACACACACUAAAGUGAAAUCAGCUUCUGAACUUGAAGUCACCUGCCAGUGACCAGACUGCAUGAAACAUGAAUUCAGCUACCAGCCUUAACCCGUGGCUGGUUUCCAAUUGUGACCAACUUCCUAUAGAAGCCCCAGAAGGAAAGCUGCUCUCCAUCAUGCAAAUCUUGGAUGAAGAGAAGAAUGGUACAGCCUCAACCUAAUCAUGAGAAAAUGAUGAGACAAAUCCCAAAGGGAAACAUUCUCAAGACAUUUGACCAGAACUCCUGACAACUCGCAAGUUCAUCAAAAACAAGUAACAUCUGAGAAAAUGUCCCAGCCAAGAAGGGGCUAAGGAGCCGUGACUCCCACCUGUCAACUGGAAUCCGGAUGGGAUGCUGGACAGAAAAAACCAUUAGGGCUUGAAAAUGUAUGUCCACACCAAAACCUGCACAUGAAUGUUCACAGCAGCUUUACUGAUAAUUGCAAAACAAUGGAGCAAAUGAGAUGUCCUACAGGAGGUGAAUGGAUAACUACCCUGUACAUCCAGACAAGGGGAUAAUAGUCAGUGCUAAAAGAAAAUGAACUAUCAAGCCAUAAAAAGACUUGGAGGAACUUUAAAAUUGUAUUAUUGAGUGAAAGAAGCCAAUGAGAAAAGAAUAAAUUCUGCAUGAUUCCAACUAUAUGACA
rnacentral:lncRNA from 1 species